rnacentral:rRNA from 1 species
UGAACGCUAGCUACAGGCUUAACACAUGCAAGUCGAGGGGCAGCAUUUUAGUUUGCUUGCAAACUGAAGAUGGCGACCGGCGCACGGGUGAGUAACACGUAUCCAACCUGCCGAUAACUCCGGAAUAGCCUUUCGAAAGAAAGAUUAAUACCGGAUAGCAUACGAAUAUCGCAUGAUAUUUUUAUUAAAGAAUUUCGGUUAUCGAUGGGGAUGCGUUCCAUUAGUUUGUUGGCGGGGUAACGGCCCACCAAGACUACGAUGGAUAGGGGUUCUGAGAGGAAGGUCCCCCACAUUGGAACUGAGACACGGUCCAAACUCCUACGGGAGGCAGCAGUGAGGAAUAUUGGUCAAUGGGCGAGAGCCUGAACCAGCCAAGUAGCGUGAAGGAUGAAGGCUCUAUGGGUCGUAAACUUCUUUUAUAUGGGAAUAAAGUUUUCCACGUGUGGAAUUUUGUAUGUACCAUAUGAAUAAGGAUCGGCUAACUCCGUGCCAGCAGCCGCGGUAAUACGGAGAAUCCGAGCGUUAUCCGGAUUUAUUGGGUUUAAAGGGAGCGUAGGUGGAUUGUUAAGUCAGUUGUGAAAGUUUGCGGCUCAACCGUAAAAUUGCAGUUGAAACUGGCAGUCUUGAGUACAGUAGAGGUGGGCGGAAUUCGUGGUGUAGCGGUGAAAUGCUUAGAUAUCACGAAGAACUCCGAUUGCGAAGGCAGCUCACUAGACUGUCACUGACACUGAUGCUCGAAAGUGUGGGUAUCAAACAGGAUUAGAUACCCUGGUAGUCCACACAGUAAACGAUGAAUACUCGCUGUUUGCGAUAUACAGUAAGCGGCCAAGCGAAAGCAUUAAGUAUUCCACCUGGGGAGUACGCCGGCAACGGUGAAACUCAAAGGAAUUGACGGGGGCCCGCACAAGCGGAGGAACAUGUGGUUUAAUUCGAUGAUACGCGAGGAACCUUACCCGGGCUUAAAUUGCAACAGAAUAUAUUGGAAACAGUAUAGCCGUAAGGCUGUUGUGAAGGUGCUGCAUGGUUGUCGUCAGCUCGUGCCGUGAGGUGUCGGCUUAAGUGCCAUAACGAGCGCAACCCUUAUCUUUAGUUACUAACAGGUUAUGCUGAGGACUCUAGAGAGACUGCCGUCGUAAGAUGUGAGGAAGGUGGGGAUGACGUCAAAUCAGCACGGCCCUUACGUCCGGGGCUACACACGUGUUACAAUGGGGGGUACAGAAGGCGGCUACCUGGUGACAGGAUGCUAAUCCCAAAAACCUCUCUCAGUUCGGAUCGAAGUCUGCAACCCGACUUCGUGAAGCUGGAUUCGCUAGUAAUUGCGCAUCAGCCAUGGCGCGGUGAAUACGUUCCCGGGCCUUGUACACACCGCCCGUCAAGCCAUGAAAGCCGGGGGUACCUGAAGUACGUAACCGCAAGGAGCGUCCUAGGGUAAAACUGGUAAUUGGGGC